rnacentral:hammerhead_ribozyme from 2 species
AGCCGAAACGGGGAACUUACCCCGUCCGCUGCGGGAUCGCCUCCCGGCGCUGAUGAGGCAGGCGAGA